AAACAGUUCUUGGGCAACUCUUAUUUUGACACCAACACAGAAACCAGACUAUCCUCCGCCAUGUUGAAAGUUUACAUCUCCCAACUCGGAAACUGUAUCAGGAACAUGAAGUGCUGAAGUAUUAUACAGAAUACCAGGAGGAGAAUGGGUUGUCAGAACAGACCUACAACAUUGGAGCAUCUCACAGAGACUGGAGCAGACAGGGAAGAAAUUGAGCCCACAUUGCUUGCAUCCAGCUGGGUCAUUAAGAACCACAUCCUGCGCCAAAUCAAACACAGCCCCUGCCCACAGACAGCCGUCUGUCCACU